rnacentral:rRNA from 1 species
AUUGAACGCUGGCGGAAUGCUUUACACAUGCAAGUCGAACGGCAGCACGGACUUCGGUCUGGUGGCGAGUGGCGAACGGGUGAGUAAUGUAUCGGAACGUGCCCAGUCGUGGGGGAUAACGUAGUGAAAAUUACGCUAAUACCGCAUACGAUCUAUGGAUGAAAGCGGGGGAUCGCAAGACCUCGCGCGAUUGGAGCGGCCGAUAUCAGAUUAGGUAGUUGGUGGGGUAAAGGCCCACCAAGCCAACGAUCUGUAGCUGGUCUGAGAGGACGGCCAGCCACACUGGAACUGAGACACGGGCCAGACUCCUACGGGAGGCAGAAGUGGGGAAUUUUGGACAAUGGGCGAAAGCCUGAUCCAGCCAUUCCGCGUGCAGGAUGAAGGCCCUCGGGUUGUAAACUGCUUUUGUACAGAACGAAAAGGUUUCUACUAAUACUAGGAGCUCAUGACGGUACUGUAAGAAUAAGCACCGGCUAACUACGUGCCAGCCGCCGCCGUAA